CGCGGAAGAUGUAACGGGGCUGAAAUAUAGCACCGAAGCUGCGGCAUCAGGCGUAUCACUAAUACGCCUUACGAUUAACAACAUGGAAUGGUGCGAAGCGACAUGAAAGGUUGUUCAAGCAACCCGAACGUUGAGUCGGGACAUCUUUGAAGUAAGGAUUAUUAGUGAUACGCCUGUUGGGUAGGGGAGCGUUGUGUAAGCGGAAGAAGGUUCAUCGAGAGGUGGGCUGGACGUAUCACAAGUGCGAAUGCUGACAUAAGUAACGAUAAAACGGGUGAAAAACCCGUUCGCCGGAAGACCAAGGGUUCCUGUCCAACGUUAAUCGGGGCAGGGUGAGUCGGCUCCUAAGGCGAGGCUGAAAAGCGUAGUCGAUGGGAAACAGGUUAAUAUUCCUGUACUUGGUAAAGCUGCGAUGUGGGGACGGAGUAGGUUAGGUUAUCGCACUGUUGGAUAUGUGCGUUUAAGUUGGUAGGUGGGAAGUUUAGGCAAAUCCGGACUUCCUUAACACAGAGAGAUGAUGACGAGGCUCUACGGAGCUGAAGUAACUGAUACCACACUUCCAGGAAAAGCCACUAAGCGAAAGGCUUUACUAAACCGUACUGAAAACCGACACAGGUGGUCAGGUAGAGAAUACUCAGGCGCUUGAGAGAACUCGGGUGAAGGAACUAGGCAAAAUAGCACCGUAACUUCGGGAGAAGGUGCGCUUACAGUAAUUGUAGUCCCUUACGGAUGAAGGUGAAGUAAGUCGAAGUGACCCGCUGGCUGCAACUGUUUAUUAAAAACACAGCACUCUGCAAACACGAAAGUGGACGUAUAGGGUGUGAUGCCUGCCCGGUGCUGGAAGGUUAAUUGAUGGUGUAAUCGCAAGAGAAGCACCUGAUCGAAGCCCCAGUAAACGGCGGCCGUAACUAUAACGGUCCUAAGGUAGCGAAAUUCCUUGUCGGGUAAGUUCCGACCUGCACGAAUGGCAUAAUGAUGGCCAGGCUGUCUCCACCCGAGACUCAGUGAAAUUGAAAUCGCCGUGAAGAUGCGGUGUACCCGCGGCUAGACGGAAAGACCCCGUGAACCUUUACUAUAGCUUGACACUGAACAUUGAAUUUUGAUGUGUAGGAUAGGUGGGAGCCUUUGAAGCAGUGACGCCAGUCAUUGUGGAGGCGAGCUUGAAAUACCACCCUUUAACGUUUGAUGUUCUAACGAAGAUGACGAAACGUGGUCUCGGACAGUGUCUGGUGGGUAGUUUGACUGGGGCGGUCUCCUCCCAAAGCGUAACGGAGGAGCACGAAGGUUUGCUAAUCACGGUCGGACAUCGUGAGGUUAGUGCAAUGGUAUAAGCAAGCUUAACUGCGAGACAGACAAGUCGAGCAGGUACGAAAGUAGGUCAUAGUGAUCCGGUGGUUCUGAAUGGAAGGGCCAUCGCUCAACGGAUAAAAGGUACUCCGGGGAUAACAGGCUGAUACCGCCCAAGAGUUCAUAUCGACGGCGGUGUUUGGCACCUCGAUGUCGGCUCAUCACAUCCUGGGGCUGAAGUAGGUCCCAAGGGUAUGGCUGUUCGCCAUUUAAAGUGGUACGCGAGCUGGGUUUAGAACGUCGUGAGACAGUUCGGUCCCUAUCUGCCGUGGGCGUAGGAGAAUUGGUUGGGGCUGCUCCUAGUACGAGAGGACCGGAGUGGACGCACCACUGGUGUUCCGGUUGUGUCGCCAGACGCAUUGCCGGGUAGCUAAGUGCGGAAGAGAUAAGUGCUGAAAGCAUCUAAGCACGAAACUUGCCAAGAGAUGAGUUCUCCCAAUCUAAGAGAUAGUAAGGGUUGUUGUAGACUACGACGUAGAUAGGUCUGGUGUAUAAGUGUAGUGAUACAUUGAGCUAACAGAUACUAAUUGCCCGAGAGGCUUAACUAU
rnacentral:rRNA from 1 species